UACAGAGGUGGCAAGCGUUGUUCGGAUUUACUGGGCGUAAAGGGCGCGUAGGCGGCGCAACAAGUCACUUGUGAAAUCUCCGGGCUUAACCCGGAGCGGCCAAGUGAUACUGUCGUGCUAGAGUGCGGAAGGGGCUACUGGAAUUCUCGGUGUAGCGGUGAAAUGCGUAGAUAUCGAGAGGAACACCUGCGGCGAAGGCGGGUAGCUGGGCCGACACUGACGCUGAGGCGCGAAAGCCAGGGGAGCGAACGGG
rnacentral:rRNA from 1 species